GACGAACGCUGGCGGCGUGCUUAACACAUGCAAGUCGAACGGAAAGGCCCUGCUUUUGUGGGGUGCUCGAGUAGCGAACGGGUGAGUAACACGUGAGUAACCUGCCCUUGACUUUGGGAUAACUUCAGGAAACUGGGGCUAAUACCGGAUAGGAGCUCCUGCUGCAUGGUGGGGGUUGGAAAGUUUCGGCGGUUGGGGAUGGACUCGCGGCUUAUCAGCUUGUUGGUGGGGUAGUGGCUUACCAAGGCUUUGACGGGUAGCCGGCCUGAGAGGGUGACCGGCCACAUUGGGACUGAGAUACGGCCCAGACUCCUACGGGAGGCAGCAGUGGGGAAUAUUGCACAAUGGGCGGAAGCCUGAUGCAGCAACGCCGCGUGCGGGAUGACGGCCUUCGGGUUGUAAACCGCUUUCGCCUGUGACGAAGCGUGAGUGACGGUAAUGGGUAAAGAAGCACCGGCUAACUACGUGCCAGCAGCCGCGGUGAUACGUAGGGUGCGAGCGUUGUCCGGAUUUAUUGGGCGUAAAGGGCUCGUAGGUGGUUGAUCGCGUCGGAAGUGUAAUCUUGGGGCUUAACCCUGAGCGUGCUUUCGAUACGGGUUGACUUGAGGAAGGUAGGGGAGAAUGGAAUUCCUGGUGGAGCGGUGGAAUGCGCAGAUAUCAGGAGGAACACCAGUGGCGAAGGCGGUUCUCUGGGCCUUUCCUGACGCUGAGGAGCGAAAGCGUGGGGAGCGAACAGGCUUAGAUACCCUGGUAGUCCACGCUGUAAACGGUGGGUACUAGGUGUGGGGUCCAUUCCACGGGUUCCGUGCCGUAGCUAACGCUUUAAGUACCCCGCCUGGGGAGUACGGCCGCAAGGCUAAAACUCAAAGGAAUUGACGGGGCCCCGCACAAGCGGCGGAGCAUGCGGAUUAAUUCGAUGCAACGCGUAGAACCUUACCUGGGUUUGACAUGGAUCGGGAGUGCUCAGAGAUGGGUGUGCCUCUUUUGGGGUCGGUUCACAGGUGGUGCAUGCCUGUCGUCAGCUCGUGUCGUGAGAUGUUGGGUUAAGUCCCGCAACGAGCGCAACCCUUGUUCACUGUUGCCAGCACGUUAUGGUGGGGACUCAGUGGAGACCGCCGGGGUCAACUCGGAGGAAGGUGGGGAUGACGUCAAGUCAUCAUGCCCCUUAUGUCCAGGGCUUCACGCAUGCUACAAUGGCUGGUACAGAGAGUGGCGAGCCUGUGAGGGUGAGCGAAUCUCGGAAAGCCGGUCUCAGUUCGGAUUGGGGUCUGCAACUCGACCUCAUGAAGUCGGAGUCGCUAGUAAUCGCAGAUCAGCAACGCUGCGGUGAAUACGUUCCCGGGGCU
rnacentral:rRNA from 1 species